rnacentral:lncRNA from 1 species
CCUGCUCAGGGACCCAAACCCAGCCCCAGCCUGCCGAGGAGGGGCUGGCUUCACCCGGGCCACCCACACACUGGCACGUCUGUGCACAUGGAGGCCAGUUCCCUUUCUGCAUUAGCUGCGGCGUGGAUUCCUAGUCACAUCUGCACAGGCAGAGGGAAAGCCUGUAAUUUCCAUAGAAUCCAGUUCUUUGAGUCAGAGCUGAGGGUAAGUGUUUGUUUUAUUUUUCUUUUCAAGGUGAUUACACGUCAUUUGGUUGUGGGCAAAGCCUGGGCUAUCACGGAGGGAAGAGGCCGGAUGAUUUAUCUGCAAAGUAUGCAUCGAAGGCCCGAGAAUCCCUGUGGAGGAGCGAAGGACAUGGUCCUGCCUGGAUGAGAUGCCCUGGAACUACCGCUGCCACCUUGCUGCCUGCCUAAGCGGGAAGCCAACGCUGCAGGACCGAGCAGAGAGGGUCAGCCAUGGUGGACAAGUUUCAGCAGAGCUUCCAGACUGAGACAGACUAGGAAGAAGGAACUGACCACCCGCUUCCAAAAACCUGGCCCUGAGAAGCCUAUGACUAGCAGCGGAGUGUUGUCUGAUAGAGAGCCAGAAGGUGAGAGGAUGGAGCAGAAAGGCUGAGCAGGGUUCCACUCUGCUGUCCAGAAGUCUGGAAUCCACUUCAGGGCACUAACCACAAAGAC